rnacentral:tRNA from 1 species
GUAGACAUAGUAUAGUCCAAAUACACUGGUUUGUGGAACCAAAGACAGGAACCUCAUCCCCCCUUGCCUACC